AGCUAGAUCCAGUACCCUACUGGCCCGGCAGCUGGUGGAAAGAAGGGCUUAGACAAUGUCUAAAAUGUCCAAAGGAGAGCACUCAAAGAAGGCAGAAUAUUCAAUGCUUCUCUGAGGAGCAAGCUGUUGAAGGAGCUGAAAAUAUUCAGCCAAGGAGCAUAUAGUAACCCA